UACGAAGGGGGCUAGCGUUGUUCGGAUUUACUGGGCGUAAAGCGCACGUAGGCGGACUAUUAAGUCAGGGGUGAAAUCUCGGGGCUCAACCCCGAAACUGCAUUCGAUACUGCGUGGCUCGAGUACUGGAGAGGAGACUGGAAUUUACGGUGUAGCAGUGAAAUGCGUAGAUAUCGUAAGGAAGACCAGUGGCGAAGGCGAGUCUCUGGACAGUUACUGACGCUGAGGCACGAAGGCCAGGGGAGCAAACGGG
rnacentral:rRNA from 1 species